rnacentral:rRNA from 1 species
CGUGAAGUUGGAAUUGCUAGUAAUCGCGGAUCAGCACGCCGCGGUGAAUACGUUCCCGGGCCUUGUACACACCGCCCGUCACACCACGGAAGUUGGGAGUACCCAAAGUAGGUUGCCUAACCGCAAGGAGGGCGCUUCCUAAGGUAAGACCGAUGACUGGGGUGAAGUCGUAACAAGGUAGC